UACGUGGGGUGCAAGCGUUGUUCGGAAUUACUGGGCGUAAAGCGUGUGUAGGUGGCUCGCUAAGUCUGAUGUGAAAUCUCUGGGCUUAACCCAGAAACUGCAUCGGAAACUAGCGGGCUUGAGUUCGGGAGAGGGUCGUGGAAUUCCUGGUGUAGAGGUGAAAUUCGUAGAUAUCAGGAGGAACACCGGUGGCGAAGGCGGCGACCUGGACCGACACUGACACUGAGACACGAAAGCGUGGGGAGCAAACAGG
rnacentral:rRNA from 1 species